rnacentral:rRNA from 1 species
CUACGUGCCAGCAGCCGCGGUAAUACGUAUGUCACAAGCGUUAUCCGGAUUUAUUGGGCGUAAAGCGCGUCUAGGUGGUUAUGUAAGUCUGAUGUGAAAAUGCAGGGCUCAACUCUGUAUUGCGUUGGAAACUGCAUGACUAGAGUACUGGAGAGGUAAGCGGAACUACAAGUGUAGAGGUGAAAUUCGUAGAUAUUUGUAGGAAUGCCGAUGGGGAAGCCAGCUUACUGGACAGAUACUGACGCUAAAGCGCGAAAGCGUGGGUAGCAAACAGGAUUAGAUACCCUGGUAGUCCACGCCGUAAACGAUGAUUACUAGGUGUUGGGGGUCGAACCUCAGCGCCCAAGCUAACGCGAUAAGUAAUCCGCCUGGGGAGUACGUACGCAAGUAUGAAACUCAAAGGAAUUGACGGGGACCCGCACAAGCGGUGGAGCAUGUGGUUUAAUUCGACGCAACGCGAGGAACCUUACCAGCGUUUGACAUC